AGAGACCUCCCUUAGGGACAAAAGCCUCCUCCAUCUUGGGCACAAAGAAGUCUCAAUAUCAGCACAGCAUGAGGUUCCCUGACCAUGCCAGCACUGACCAGAAGAGAAGCUGACCAAUCCACCAACCUGAUCAUGGACCAUGCCAGUCCCCCAGAAGAGAAGGUACAUCUUUCCAUCACCCUCUUCAGCUGACCAAUAAAUAAGCGGGGCCUGAGCCAAGAUCUC
rnacentral:lncRNA from 1 species